rnacentral:rRNA from 1 species
CUGGUCUGAUCAGUGGCGAACGGGUGAGUAACACGUGAGCAACCUGCCCUUCACUCUGGGAUAAGCCUUGGAAACGAGGUCUAAUACCGGAUACGACGCACCCGGGCAUCUGGUGUGCGUGGAAAGAUUUUUCGGUGGGGGAUGGGCUCGCGGCCUAUCAGCUUGUUGGUGGGGUGAUGGCCUACCAAGGCGACGACGGGUAGCCGGCCUGAGAGGGCGACCGGCCACACUGGGACUGAGACACGGCCCAGACUCCUACGGGAGGCAGCAGUGGGGAAUAUUGCACAAUGGGCGCAAGCCUGAUGCAGCGACGCCGCGUGAGGGAUGACGGCCUUCGGGUUGUAAACCUCUUUCAGCAGGGAAGAAGCGCAAGUGACGGUACCUGCAGAAGAAGCGCCGGCUAACUACGUGCCAGCAGCCGCGGUAAUACGUAGGGCGCAAGCGUUGUCCGGAAUUAUUGGGCGUAAAGAGCUCGUAGGCGGUUUGUCGCGUCUGCUGUGAAAACUCGAGGCUCAACCUCGGGCUUGCAGUGGGUACGGGCAGACUAGAGUGCGGUAGGGGUGACUGGAAUUCCUGGUGUAGCGGUGGAAUGCGCAGAUAUCAGGAGGAACACCGAUGGCGAAGGCAGGUCACUGGGCCGCAACUGACGCUGAGGAGCGAAAGCAUGGGGAGCGAACAGGAUUAGAUACCCUGGUAGUCCAUGCCGUAAACGUUGGGCACUAGGUGUGGGGCUCAUUCCACGAGUUCCGUGCCGCAGCAAACGCAUUAAGUGCCCCGCCUGGGGGAGUACGGCCGCAAGGCUAAAACUCAAAGAAAUUUGACGGGGGGCCCGCACAAGCGGGGGGAGCAUGCGGGAUUAAUUUCGAUGGCAACGCGAAAGAACCUUACCAAAGGCUUGACAUACACCCGGAAAAGUGGCAGAGAUGUGCUCCCCUUUUUGGUCGGGGGUACAGGUGGGGGGCAUGGGUUGUCGUCAGCCUCGUGUCCUGAAAAUGUUUGGGGUUAAGUC